CCUCCAUCUUCCAAAAAGCAUUGGCACUUAAACCUUACUUCAGGUACUGUUUCUGGAAUACUCCAGUUGUGAGAGGAGAAUUAACAGCCAGACUGAGCUGGAGACACUACCACAUGGGCUGGUCUGGCUGGACGGUGUUUGGCUGCUGCCCACCUGACAAGAAUGAAGGAUAAUCAAUACCUGUUCCUGAUGAUGUGAUGCACACUGUGGCAGGCACAUGGCAGGUGAGCAACAGUGAAAAAACAUGAAAAAGCACUGGCCCUGGACUCAGGAAAUUGGCUGAGACUUUCAUUUCUGCUGCUUGUCAAUUGGAUAAAUGUAAUUUCUUUGAGACUCCAUUUUCUCCUAUUUGGAAUGGUGAUAAUGAUACCUAUUCUGCCCACUUUAUACAUUGGCUGUGAGGAUGGAAGUUUAUCCCUGAAAGGCAUAUAUUCUUGGAUAAAUGGCCCUGAAAGAAACAAUCGUGACGAUUUGGACUUCCUAUAGAUAAAGCUUUGGCAGGACCACCACUAACCCCAGCAUUCAAGUCCCUGAAAACCCUUGGGCUUGCCGCUGGUUACUUCCUAGAAGGUGAAGUUUCAGAAGGUUGGCACAUUCCAUAUAUCUCCAGAGUCUGAAUCCAUAUUCUCAAGAGGACUGUGUGAAUGUUAAGGCAUCUCAGGCUUGUGCUUCCAGAAAGCUGAAUUGGGAGGCAUGAUCUCAUGCUUUUCAAUUCAGUGUCAGUUGUGUAUCCGGAUUUCUGGCCGCUGAUUUGACAUUUCCUAACCUUAUAGGUGUUUAGAAUGGUGUGAUAACCUCCAUCGCACAGACUGAGGACCGGAGGCUCAGAGACGUGCCCUUUGUGACAGCUUACAUGUGGCGGUGGUAGGAUUGCUUCAAACAUGAAGCCCUCACACUCUCUGUGACAAAUCUGUGGGCACACGCAUCAGGGGGUUUCACAUGGUCUGAGCCCAGAGGAGUUCUAAGUCACUAGAAAACCUUUGCUUCUUCCUAUGUUGUUUUUCUGCAAGGCUGGAGAAGUAUCCCCAGAACUCAAACAUCAUGGCAUUUCUUUUAUAAAAAGCAGGCUGCUUCUUCUUCUUUAGUUUUCUUUGUGAUUUCAUGGCUACAAAAAUUUUUUAAGUAUAAUUUUUUGUCAAAUUGGCUAACAUACAGUGUAUACAGUGUGCUCUUGGUUUUGGGGGUAGAUUCCCAUGAUUCAUCAAAACAGUAGGCUUCUGAUGCAAGGCCCAGAAUAGAGGCUUUAUAGGUCCUUACCUUUCUUCUCUGGGAGGAAUUUAAAUCAUUACCAAGUAUGAUCUAAAAUGCUCCCCAAGGGAGGCAUCUAGGGGAAAAAUGGAAUUGGUAGGUUAUCUGACUGAUUUAUCCAAGGAGAAAACUGAAUUGAGAGGCAUUUUUGCAGAGCUGUUUCAGGGUGUGGAAGGACUUACUUGGUCUGUGAUUUGAAUGCCCAAAGAAGGAGAAAAAAGAGUCAACUCAGAGGGGAAGAAAAGGCUAAGCAAAAAACACUCAUAACAUGCUGUUUAGCUCCUCAUUGAACUUUGUGUAUGCGGUCAUGAUAAUGACCAUGAUGGAGCUCUACUGGGAAGACAGGAAGGCACUGUACGCAGUGAUGGUGAUGGGGAGGUGACGUCAUCUCUUCCAUCCAAAGUCCCUGGACUGUGAGUACAUGUUCUGGGUCAAAUUUCACUCCCAAAGAGCAAACCACUCAGUCUCUAGAUGGCUUGGGAGAACGAGUCUUAUUUUGUUUUUAAAUACUUUUUAGUACAAUCCUUAUGAAAAGACCUACACGUUUCAGCCUUUAUUCUGAAACCAGAAAAAUGCCUUCAGAAGAACUUCUGCACAUCUCCAGUUUCAGAGAACUAACCGAAAAGAUCUUACUGUAAGACUUUUUGUUUUGGUGUAAAAAAAUAUUAGAACUUUAACUGUUGCCAUGGGUAAAAACUCCAUUUUUACAAAUGUGCAGGUUGAGAUCCUCUUUUCUAGGUGGGAAUUGGAAUUAUGAAGCGAUGAGCCUUGAGUUACAGAACAGGUGGUCUUUCUGUAGGCAGGCCACUUCCUCUCUGGGUCUCAUACUCCUCAUCUGUGGAAUGAGGGAGUGGAACCAAGAGAAGCUUCAUUGUCCCUUCUGGCACAAUUUUUGAUGGCAACAGUGUUUCUGCAGGCCUGGCGCCCUGACAAUUCUACUGAUCGGGUCUCCCAGGCCCCCAGGAAUACCUGCUUAGGGUUAGGCCUGGGCCUGCCUCUGUGGAAGAGGGCUCCAGCCCCGGCCAUUCCCAGCCACAUGAGGACAAGGAUUGUUUAGCAGGUCUCUGAGGGCGAGGGGACCCAAGAAGCUGGACUGGGCUCGUACCACGGAUAUGAGUGUUGUGUGAGGGCUGUUUGUGUCCCAACAGGCCGACUUCCAGCAGCACUUUUCUGGGGAAACAUUCUUUGUUGUUAUCAGGAAAAACAGGCUAACAAGAUUUUUACAUGUUCACACUCGGCCCUCCAUCUGGACAAAUGAGUAAUCUGACUUACAGAGAGUGUGUUUACAGAAAACAGCCACGAAGAGUCUCUUGGAGCCAGAGUUAAACACAAAACGGGAAAAGGCAAAGCUUUUUAGAAUCCCAUUGUUGAGUCAGGGUCCAUCUGUUGCCACUGGGAGUGCGUCCACCUACCAAACCCUAACUGCCCACCUCCCAGCCACAGCCAAAAGAAGCAGUGUGGUCGGUGGGUGUCUAUACUCUGGUGGUGUACUGAGCCCCAAACCCUCUAGCUUCUCAUCAUCGGGGCUCCAUAACUCAUUUUAGUACUGCUUAUAAGCUGCUCAUCCCAGAGGCUGGUAGCUGACUCCCUCUGGCACUGUGACCUGAGACCUGUGACUCAGAAGUCCUUCUCAGGUAUGGCAUUGCCUUGUCCCUGACGCUUGAGGGCUGGAGAUCUAGUUUGCAGGGUCAUCCACCCGUGAUGGGAGAAGACAGCUGGGAGCCUG